rnacentral:rRNA from 1 species
GGUUGAUCCCGCCGGAGACUACCUCUAUCAGGAUUCGGCUAAGCCAUGCGAGUCAGGGAGCAAUCUCGAUGUACUGCUCAGUAACACGUAGUUAACCUGCCCUUAGGUCAGAGAUAACCUUGGGAAACUGAGAAUAAUAUCUGAUGGACGAGGAAAUCUGGAACGAUUCCUCGUUAAAAGGCAACGCCUAAGGAUGGGACUGCGGCGGAUUAGGUCGUUGUUAGGAUAAAUGCCUAACAAGCCUAUAAUCCGUACGGGUCGUGAGAGCGAUAGCCCGGAGAUGUCUUCUGAGACAUGAAGACAGGCCCUACGGGGCGCAGCAGGCGCGAAAACUUCGCAAAGGACGAAAGUCUGACGAGGGAAUCCUGAGUGAUAUCGCAUUGCGGUAUCUUUUGUUUACUGUAAAAAGGUAGACGAAUAAGUGGUGGGUAAGACGGUUGCCAGCCGCCGCGGUAGUAACCGCGCCACGAGGGGUAGUCACUUUUAUUGGGCCUAAAGCGUCCGUAGCCGGUUUGGUGUGUCUCCGGUGAAAUCAUGCAGAAAACUGUAUGAAGGGCUGGAGAUACUACCAGACUUGGAACCGGGAGAGGCUAGAGGUACUCUACGGGUAGGGGUAAAAUCCUUUAAUCCAUAGAGGACCACCUGUGGCGAAGGCGUCUAGCUGGAACGGGUUCGACGGUGAGGGACGAAAGCGUGGGGAGCGACCGGGAUUAGAUACCCCGUUAGUCCACGCUGUAAACGAUGCCCAUUUGGUGUCGCGCAUCCUUCGAGGAUGUGCGGUGCCGUAGCGAAGGUAUUAAAUGGGCCGCCUGGGGAGUACGGUUGCAAGACUGAAACUUAAGGGAAUUGGCGGGGGAGCACUACCAGGGGUGGAGGCUGCGGUUUAAUUGGAUUCAACGCCAGGAACCUUACCCGUGAAGACAGCAGAAUGAGGGUCACUCUAAAGGGGUUACCUGACAAGCUGAGAAGUGCUGCAUGGCCGUCGUCAGUUCGUGCCGUGAGGUGUCGUGUUAAGUCACGAAACGAACGAGACCCGUGCCACUAGUUGCCACCCCGUUCUACGGAACGGGAGCACUCUAAUGGGACCGCUGUUGCUAAAACAGAGGAAGGAGCGGGCGGCGGCAGGUCAGUAUGGCCUGAAUUUGCGGGGUUACACGCGGCCUACAAUGCGUAGGACAAUGGGAUGCAGCACCGUGAGGUGAAGCUAAUCUCUUAAACCUACGCCUAGUUCGGAUCGAGGGCUGCAACUCGCCCUCGUGAAGCCGGAAUCCCUAGUAAGCGAAGGUCAUCAUCUUUCGCUGAAUACGUCCCUGCUCCUUGCACACACCGCCCGUCAAGUCAACCGAAUGGGGUCUUGGUGAGGUCUAUGUUGAAUAGCUCGAAUCAAGACUCUGUAAGGUGGAUUAAGUCGUAACG